rnacentral:lncRNA from 1 species
GUGACUCGAUAAUCAUAGAGUCUUUACCUUGCUUACCUUCAGACAAAAGUGGGUGGUUGUCUUUCUCAUUCUUACCUUUCUUGUAUAACCGAAAUCGCCACUCGUUGGGAAGGUAUUGAAGCUGGAAGUGGUCACACGAAUUUUCAAAAACCUGGGAAAAGAUAUCGCAAGAAAAACUAAUAGGUGGGUUAGUGGAAGCAAUCCUCACUUGCUCACUAACAUCUUUUUCACUCGAAUAUUUUUCUUCAAGAUCACUUGCUUCUUCCACUCGU